ensembl:misc_RNA
UUGAGAAAGAGUGGCUGGGGUAACACAUCUCUCCAGCCUCGAAGCAUUUCUUCCCCAGGGCAGUAUUUCCCAACCACACUCCUCAGUCUUCCUUACCUCUUGCUUGUCUGGACCCAUCCACUACCAGCCUACUUCCUGUGUAGCUCAGUUCUUGGAGAAAGCAGGACCCCACAGUAAGAUGAGCGCUGAAAAAUGCACAGCU